GGUUUUUUUUAUAUGUUUGUUCCACUGUAUCUUGAAUGAGCAGGUCAGGCUGGGCUACCGUCAUUAUCAGAGACGACGACACGCCCAUCGUAUGGAUUCAAAACUACCCACCGAGUCUUCUAAUGCUGACAAUUCAAGAACACAGCGCAUCAACGACAAUAUCCGUGCAGAGAAGAAAUAAAUGAGAGCGAAAAAAAAUUCAUAUCACAUCAAUCAUAUGCAGUUUAAUAUUGUUUUUUUUUUUUAUUAUUUUACGUAUACUUAUUAUGUUAUGUGCUCGAUUGUAAAUGAAUGUCUUACCGAAUUACAAAUUGGACUUAUAAAUGAAGCCUAUCAGAAAUAGUGUCUAGAUUAAGCAUUUUACAAUAUUUGUUUGUUAUUUCUACUCAUACUUAUAUACUUUGACUAAAAUUAUACUGCUCAUUGCAAUCAGAUUAAUGGGGAUACAAAUACAAACACAACAUUAUUAUUAUCAUUAUUUAUACAUAUAUCAUACAAUGAUUGUUCAAUAAUAAAGAGAGAGAGUCAGUCCAUCAAGUUAACAAAGGAGGAUAAUACCAGGUUCACAUCCAAUAUUCACAAACUUAUGGUAAAUAUUGUUCACCGUCAAGAUAGAACGUUCGUUCUCAUAUCUGUUGUCUUUUCUUAUUUGAAUAAAGAAUACAGAUAAUCACUCAAUUCAAAUAUACAUCAUUAUUAAACUUCACGUAAAAAUGCAAUAUUCUGAUUGGCUUAUACGAGGGUGUUAAUUUACUCUAUUCUAUUGUAAAUACUCUAUUACCCUCUACGGAGACGCUUGAUCAAGUGUGCGCUUUAUUAAAUACGACUCUAUCCUAUGGCAAAUACUCUAUUACCCUUCACGAACACGCUUGAUCAAGUGUGCGCAUUAUUAAAUACGGAUGGUUGUUAUGUACAAGACGUCAUAGUUUAUAACUUUGAAUUUGAAAUUUAAUCGACAGUUAAAACAGAACUUUCAGUAUAAUAAAUUAAAUAACACAUAUCUGAGAGGGUGAUAGAGCAGAUUGUUACCCCUCGAAAAGACAUUGUCAACCUUGGCUUCGCCUCAGUUGACAAUGUUUUCUUAUGUGUGUUAUUUAUAUAAUGUCACCAUUUGACAUUAUCAGUAGAACAUCUUCAUGUAGUUAUCUUUAGUUUUGGAACUUAUCAAAUAUUUCAUAAAGAUAUCGUUUUCUAAUAUUAUCAUAUAGAGGGCAUAUAAAAAAGAAUUAAACUUGAUCUUCAAAUGUGUUAAGACAGCAAAACUUUUUUGAAAAUCUUUUAUCUUGAUGAGGUAAUGAAACCAACAUUUGUUUUACUAUCAACGACUCUUUAAAUCUACACAAAGUGAAUAUGUUUUUGUUGGUUUGUGAUAUUAACAUAACUUUUAAAUUAAAAGUUGAAUUUUGAAAUUAAAAUAAGGUUUUCCAUUUGCUGUGUUCAUUAUGUGAAAUGACACAGCUAAUGCUUGGUCAUUGCCUUAUAAAAAGAAGUUUGAGGCAUUCUUUAGUAACCUAUUAUUUAUUUUCACUAUAUAUUUGGCAAACAGAGAGAUCGACAUUUAAUUUCUCGCUUACGAAUUUAAUAGAUUGGUCGCUGAUCAAAUCUCCUUUUGUGAUUAGUGGUAUAGGUGACAAAACAGGAGAAAUAAAAUUAUCAGGUUUUAAUCAAAUGUAAUAAUGUAUAAAAAAGAUCAAAACAUAGAAUUUCAGAUUAAAUCUAAAUGAAUUUUGAAAAACUGAAAUAUAUCAGUUAUAAUGUUAUUGGUUUGCUUUGUUUUUUAAUCAUUAUAAUUUACUUAAGACUAUUUUCUGUUAACUAUUUUACUUUAUUAUGAAUAUAAUCAAGCAGUUACUCUUAUGAAUCAUGUGUGUAAUGAGAUUCUUUUAAUUUCACUUAAUAAAGUUCACUAUUUUCUUUGA